rnacentral:rRNA from 1 species
UAGGGAAUCUUCCGCAAUGGACGAAAGUCUGACGGAGCAACGCCGCGUGAGCGAUGAAGGCCUUCGGGUCGUAAAGCUCUGUUGUCAGAGAAGAACAAGUAUCGGAGUAACUGCCGGUACCUUGACGGUACCUGACCAGAAAGCCACGGCUAACUACGUGCCAGCAGCCGCGGUAAUACGUAGGUGGCAAGCGUUGUCCGGAAUUAUUGGGCGUAAAGCGCGCGCAGGCGGUUCCUUAAGUCUGAUGUGAAAGCCCCCGGCUCAACCGGGGAGGGUCAUUGGAAACUGGGGAACUUGAGUGCAGAAGAGGAGAGCGGAAUUCCACGUGUAGCGGUGAAAUGCGUAGAGAUGUGGAGGAACACCAGUGGCGAAGGCGGCUCUCUGGUCUGUAACUGACGCUGAGGCGCGAAAGCGUGGGGAGCGAACAGG